CAAUUAACAAUUCAAGAGACAGCUCACUUAUGCAAUAUUAAAAGAGUCAUUCUAUGGACUAUAGCGGGGUUCAAAAUUGACUUACUUCUUUCAUUUCUAUGUUCCAAGUGAUAAACAUAAUGGAAUAAAUGGUUCUAUAAAUACUUAGUAAUCUUAACCCAAUUCUCAUAAGUACUUCCCAUCAAAGAAAAAGAAAAAUCUCACAACUAUAUACGCAAAUAAAAGUGUGAUAAGAUGGCCAAAACCACUUACUUCGGCCUUAUUGCUGUAUGCCUCAUGGUCCUUCUGAUUGCAAACACUGAAAUCCAAACAACAGAAGCACAAAGCCCUACGUGUGGAUGGCUAAGAAUUGGUACUCUAAAUAGAGUUUUCUGUGACAGAAGGUGCAAUGACAAUUGCCUGAACAGGCGGCCACGAACUAUUGCUGAUAGAAGUGGCAGAUUUGGUCGCUGCACUGACGAUGAAGGCUUUACUCGCAGAGUCUGUGAAUGUAACUUUAGUUGCUAAGCUAGCUUAACGACUUCUUAUCAAAAAUUAUCAUCCAACUAUAAUAUGAAAGACUCAUGAAAUACGAAAAAGUGUGUACGACAUACUCCACUCUUGUCUCUAUUCAUGUGAACUAUAGUUUAUAAUCUAUAAUUAUAAUUGUGUAAUAAAGUGGAGUAACCCAAUAAUAUUAAAGUUGUUUGUAAACUUAUUAUUAUGUGUGUGGAUUAAUAAAGACGGUAUUGUUGUUGCAUGUAAAA